rnacentral:rRNA from 1 species
AGAGUUUGAUCCUGGCUCAGGAUGAACGCUGGCGGUAUGCUUAACACAUGCAAGUCGAACGGGCUCUUCGGAGCUAGUGGCGGACGGGUGAGUAACGCGUGAGAAUCUGGCUUCAGGUUCGGGACAACAGUUGGAAACGGCUGCUAAUACCGGAUGUGCCUUAUGGUGAAAGAUUUAUCACCUGAAGAUGAGCUCGCGUCUGAUUAGCUAGUAGGUGUGGUAAGAGCGCACCAAGGCAACGAUCAGUAGCUGGUCUGAGAGGACGACCAGCCACACUGGGACUGAGACACGGCCCAGACUCCUACGGGAGGCAGCAGUGAGGAAUUUUCCGCAAUGGGCGAAAGCCUGACGGAGCAAUACCGCGUGAGGGAGGAAGGUUCUUGGAUUGUAAACCUCUUUUCUCAGAGAAGAAUAAUGACGGUAUCUGAGGAAUAAGCAUCGGCUAACUCCGUGCCAGCAGCCGCGGUAAUACGGAGGAUGCAAGCGUUAUCCGGAAUGAUUGGGCGUAAAGGGUCUGUAGGUGGUUGUUCAAGUCUGCUGUUAAAGCGUCUGGCUUAACCAGAUAAAGGCGGUGGAAACUGAACGACUAGAGUGCGGUAGGGGUAGAGGGAAUUCCCAGUGUAGCGGUGAAAUGCGCAGAUAUCGGGAGGAACACCAGUAGCGGAGGCGGCUCGCUGGGCCACACCUGACGCUGAGACGCGAAAGCUAGGGGAGCGAACAGGAUUAGAUACCCCGGUAGUCC